CGGGAGAGCAGGGUGAGAAGCGAUGGAGAGAAAGCAGAGCCAGAAUGCCGCCAGGGAAGCCCUAGAGUGAUUUAAUGCAGCGGAGUGAGAGGUCCCAAUUCACAUUCUAAAGCAGUCGUCUAGACAGCUGUGCUCACAGGCAGUGACCCAUCAGACAAUGGCCGAGUAUCAUUCUCUGGGCAGUGAAGGAGUUAGGGGCCUCAGAAGAGAAACAACAAAUUUUUUAAAAAGCGCAAGAAUGUCGUGCUUUCCCUGUACUUCAGAGAGCAGGUUUCAUAUAUAUUUCAACACCCGGCAUGCUCAAGAAUGGAACAGACAUGCACGUGCCUGCAAAACCAAAACACAGCUGGAGAAUUAUUGGAGUCCUCGUACUUGGAAUUGGCAUCAACAGACAACAGCCUUCUCACACGGAAACAAAGGUGUCAGUCCGGAUCACAUAGUAACUCUGAUAAUUAAAAUUUUCACUGUGCUUACUUCAGUGGCUCUAGUGAAUAACAUAUUUAUAAUGUGCAUAAAUAACACCAAUGGGAGGUUUAAAAUCCUUACAAAGAUGUGUCUUUGUAGGUUCCCAAAUAAAAUAUAUAUUCUUUGA
rnacentral:lncRNA from 1 species